rnacentral:lncRNA from 1 species
UAUAAAACUAGAACAGAUGCGUGUGUAGAAAUGCAAAAGCAAGUUUUCGUACAAGCUGAAUAGCAGUGUGGUUAAUGUUCUAGAGACAACCAUGAACUUUUGUUUCAAAAAAAAAAAAAAAAAAAAAAGAGACAACCAUGAACAUUAUGCUGAAUUUUGAAGACUCAAUCCACAACACAAAAAUUACAACUUAUGUUCUCUACUAGAUAAUGGGAAUAACAUCUUGUGCCAAUGUUUAAGAGACAAAAAUGAGGAGUAUGAAGAAUGUGAGUACUCAAAUCUAAAACAGAAAAAUAACAAUGGUGGGUUAUCAAAUAGCUUGUAUCGAUAUCACAUUCUUCCUGGGAUAUGCAUAUGGGUGUGUGGAUGUGGGAGUGAGAGGCUACCAAGAUAGUGGUGACGCACACGUGGACCGUGAAUGGUGGUGUCCAUGUGUACGGUUGAAUACUAGUGUCCAUGUGUACGCUGGUUUGCAUAUGUUGUCCAUGUGGACAGUAAAAUGCUUGUGUCCAUGUCUCCUAGAACGUAUCCAUGUGUGAUAUUUCCAGGGCAUGCUUGUGUCCAUGUCUCCUAGAACGUAUCCAUGUGUGAUAUUUCCAGGGUCGUGUCUGCAGUUGAGAAGCCGUAAAUGAUUUAUGCCGUCGAGUUCCUGGAACAACAUGUUAUAGAAUAUUGAAUCUGAAUAUCAUCUGGGACAUAUCUGAUACUGGGUUUUUUUUUUCUGUUAGAAAUGAAACGAGUUGAAAUAUAUUAUUAACAAAACUAUAGAAAUAGAGUAUGUAUACUUGUUCUCGAGAUCAAAGACGUACUAACAAAUGAGGUGAAAUUAAGAACAAAAAGGAUUCACAAAAUCUAACUACUCACCAAAUGGUUGUGUACACACAUUUAGAUCGAAGACAUGAACAUCAAAAUAUAUAAAUACUAUUUAAAUACUGUUUAUACAUCCCAAAAUAUUUAAGGUACUUGAAUCUUACAAACCCAAAACUGACAGAUCAACAAGAACAACUGUAAUAGCAUAUUCACACUAGAAAUUGUAAUAAUUACAAAUUUUGAAUUUUGGAUACCUAACAAGAGUUCACGAACCGAAAGAGCUCCGUCCACAGCCGUAGAAACUGGUGGUGGUUGCUGCAUAUCCGCCACUCAUAGCCAUCUUCCGCUGCUCAACGAUUGCCUUUUUAGGAAAUCGAUGACUAAGUCGGACUAAAUCUCUAUAAAUCUCGAGAUAUUACAAUAAAUAAGACGACCAGAAAACAUAAAGGAGAAAUAUAAGGUUGGAGGAAGAAGAAGAAGAUUAAAUAAGAAAGAAGGUUGGAGUUAUGUUUUCGAUUUCAUCAAGCAAAUUAAUUCUUUAGUGAUGAGCUUCAAUCGCGUUUUUUCUUUGAUUUCAGUACUUAUCUCGUUGUGAGAUGUAAUUUGGGUUUCAAAUCUGACAAAAGACAAAGAAAAGAAAGUGAGAGAAAGAAAAUAAAAUUGCAGCCAAGAAAAUAAUAACGAAAGGGUAAUUCUGGGUUUUUCAUAU